rnacentral:rRNA from 1 species
GUAGGGGGCAAGCGUUAUCCGGAUUUACUGGGUGUAAAGGGAGCGUAGACGGUGUGGUAAGUCUGAUGUGAAAGGCAUGGGCUCAACCUGUGGACUGCAUUGGAAACUGUCAUACUUGAGUGCCGGAGGGGUAAGCGGAAUUCCUAGUGUAGCGGUGAAAUGCGUAGAUAUUAGGAAGAACACCAGUGGCGAAGGCGGCUUACUGGACAGUAACUGACGUUGAGGCUCGAAAGCGUGGGGAGCAAACAGGAUUAGAUACCCUGGUAGUCCAUGCCGUAAACGAUGAAUACUAGGUGUUGGUGAGCAAAGCUCAUCGGUGCCGCCGCAAACGCAAUAAGUAUUCCACCUGGGGAGU